rnacentral:rRNA from 1 species
GAUGAACGCUAGCGACAGGCCUAACACAUGCAAGUCGAGGGGCAGCACAUGAGUAGCAAUACGAUGGUGGCGACCGGCGCACGGGUGAGUAACACGUAUGCAACCUACCUUCUACCAGGGGAUAACCCGUUGAAAGACGGACUAAUACCCUAUAAUACAGGGGCUCCGCAUGGAGAUAUUUGUUAAAGAUUCAUCAGUAGAAGAUGGGCAUGCGCAUGAUUAGCUAGUUGGCGGGGUAACGGCCCACCAAGGCAUCGAUCAUUAGGGGUUCUGAGAGGAAGGUCCCCCACACUGGUACUGAGACACGGACCAGACUCCUACGGGAGGCAGCAGUGAGGAAUAUUGGUCAAUGGGCGAGAGCCUGAACCAGCCAAGUCGCGUGAAGGAAGACUGUCCUAUGGAUUGUAAACUUCUUUUGUACGGGAAUAAAGUGGGCUACGUGUAGCCUUUUGUAUGUACCGUACGAAUAAGGAUCGGCUAACUCCGUGCCAGCAGCCGCGGUAACAC